rnacentral:rRNA from 1 species
GAUCAUGGCUCAGGAUGAACGCUGGCGGCGUGCUUAACACAUGCAAGUCGAACGAAGCACUUAAUGAGAUUUCUUCGGAUUGAUUAUUUUGUGACUGAGUGGCGGACGGGUGAGUAACGCGUGGGUAACCUGCCCCAGACCGGGGGAUAACAGUCGGAAACGACUGCUAAUACCGCAUAAGCGCACAGUGCCGCAUGGCACAGUGUGAAAAACUCCGGUGGUCUGGGAUGGACCCGCGUCCGAUUAGUUAGUUGGCGGGGUAACGGCCCACCAAGACCGCGAUCGGUAGCCGACCUGAGAGGGUGACCGGCCACAUUGGGACUGAGACACGGCCCAGACUCCUACGGGAGGCAGCAGUGGGGAAUAUUGCACAAUGGAGGAAACUCUGAUGCAGCGACGCCGCGUGAGCGAAGAAGUAUUUCGGUAUGUAAAGCUCUGUCAGCAGGGAAGAUAAUGACGGUACCUGACCAAGAAGCCCCGGCUAACUACGUG